rnacentral:lncRNA from 1 species
CCAUUGUGGGCAUGAUUCUCUCUAGACCUUCCUUGUGUCUUUUGUCCUCACCCAAAAGAAGGAUCUGUAGGAGCUAAGUUUAGCUUAAGCACAGAAAUCACUUUGAAGCAGGUAGGGUUACCUGCUUCAAAUGAGCUACCUGGGCCACCCUGCCCAUACCUCAGGGCCUUCCUCUUGCCUCAGCUGGGGCCACUCGACACUUUCCUGCCCCUCUGUGUCUUUUCAGGAACCAGAAAUGCCUAGCUGCAGGGAUUCAGCAUGAAGCUGGCCAGCUUGCAGGGCUUGGACCCAGAAAUGAGCCCAGGUCCCCAGAUGCCCUACCUUGGGCCAACGAGCCCUGCUGCUAUCUUGCUCCAACCAGCCAGAGGCUCAGAGGCAAAAUAGCUGUUGGGAUCCAAGCAGCAGGCAGGAAGAUGGAGUUCUAGCAGGCAGCUGGGAGGAGUGAGGCUGGGACGCAAGAACACGGGUUUAUGUCCCUGGCUGUGCCACGCAUGACCUUGUGUAAGUCACUCCUUUCUUAAGUCUCAAUGUGCCUAUCCAUAAAACAGC